UUUCAUUUUGGCGGGUUUUCAAGCUAGCCAAGUUUGGUGGUGAGACUUGGCUAGGUCAAUGCAUGGGGCCAAGAUUUGGGAAAUUUUCAAAGUGUUGGUUUUUUAGGUUUGAUUGUUGGAAUGCACUAUUCAUAUGACCAAAUGCCUACGGUAAAAAUCUUGUUGCAACAAAUUUUUCAUUUUAGUGGCUUUUCAAGCUAGCCAAGUUUGGUGGUGAGACUUGACUAGGUCGGUGCAGAGGGCCAUGAUUUGGGAAAUUUUCAAAGUGUUGGUUUUUGAGAUUUGAUGGUUGGAAUGCACUAUUUAUAUGACCAAAUGGGUACUAUUAAAAUCUUGGUGCAAGAAAUAUUUCAUUUUGGUUCGUUUUAAAGCUAGCCAAGUUUGGUGGUGAGACUUGGCUAGGUCGUGCAUGGGGCCACGAUUUGGGAAAUUUUCAAAGAGUUUGUUUUUGAGGUUUGAUGGUUGGAAUGCACUCUUUAUAUGACCAAAUGGCUAUGGUAAAAAUCUUGGUGCAACAAAUUUUUCAUUUUGGUGAGAUUUCAAGCUAGCCUAAUUUGGUGGUGAGACUUGGCUAGGUCGGUGCAUGGGGCCAAGAUUUGGGAAAUUUUCAAAGUGUUUGUUUGUGAGGUUUUAUUGUUGGAAUGCACUCUUUAUAUUCCCAAAUGGCUACUGUAAAAAUAUUGGUGCAAAAAAGUUUUCAUUUUGGUGGGUUUUCAAGCUAGCCAUGCUUGGUGGUCAGACUUGGUUAGGUCGGUGCAUGGGGCCAAGAUUUGGGAAAUUUUCAAAGUGUUCGUUUUUGAGGUUUUAUUGUUGGAACGCACUUUUUAUAUGACCAAAUGGCUACUGUAAAGAUCUUCUUGCUAAAAAUUUUCCAUUUUGGUUUGAUUUCAAGCUAGCCAAGUUUGGUGCUGAGACUUGGCUAAGUCGGUGCAUGGGGCCAAGAUUUGGGAAUUUUUCAAAUUGUUUGUUUUUGAGGUUUGAUUGUUGCAAUGCACUCUUUAUAUGACCAAAUGGCUACUGUAAAGAUCUUGGUGUAAGAAAUUUUUCAUUUUAUUUGGUUUUCAAGCUACCCAAGUUUGGUGGUGAGACUUGGCUAGGUCGGUGCAUGUGGCCAAGAUGUGGGAAAUUUUGAAAGUGUUGGUUUUUGAGGUUUGAUGGUUGGAAUGCACCAUUUAGAUGACCAAAUGGCUAGUGUAAAAAUCUUUGUGGCAGAAAGUUUUCAUUUUGGCGGGUGUUCAAGCGAGCCAAGUUUGGUGGUGAGACUUGGCUAGGUGAGUGCUUGGGGCCAAGAUUUAGGAAAUUUUCAAAGUGUUGGUUUUUUAGGUUUGAUUGUUGGAAUGCACUAUUUAUAUGACCAAAUGCCUACGGUAAAAAUCUUGUUGCAACAAAUUUUUCAUUUUAGUGGCUUUUCAAGCUAGCCAAGUUUGGUGGUGAGACUUGGCUAGGUCGGUGCAGGGGGCCAAGAUUUGGGAAAUUUUCAAAGUGUUGGUUUUUGAGAUUUGAUGGUUGGAAUGCACUCUUUAUACGACCAAAUGGCGACUAUAAAAAUCUUGGUGCAAGAAAUAUUUCAUUUUGUUGGUUUUAAAGCUAGCCAAGUUUGGUGGUGAGACUUCGCUAGGUCGUGCAUGGGGCCAAGAUUUGGGAAAUUUUGAAAGUGUUGGUUUUUGAGGUUUGAUGGUUGGAAUGCACUAUUUAUAUG
rnacentral:lncRNA from 1 species